AGUGGGGAAUAUUGGGCAAUGGAGGAAACUCUGACCCAGCGACGCCGCGUGCGGGAUGAAGGCCUUCGGGUUGUAAACCGCUUUCAGCAAGGAAGAAGCGAAAGUGACGGUACUUGCAGAAGAAGCACCGGCUAACUAUGUGCCAGCAGCCGCGGUAAUACAUAGGGUGCAAGCGUUGUCCGGAAUUAUUGGGCGUAAAGAGCUCGUAGGUGGUUCGUCACGUCGGAUGUGAAAAUCUGGGGCUUAACCCCAGACCUGCAUUCGAUACGGGCGAGCUAGAGUGUGGUAGGGGAGACUGGAAUUCCUGGUGUAGCGGUGGAAUGCGCAGAUAUCAGGAGGAACACCAAUGGCGAAGGCAGGUCUCUGGGCCAUUACUGACACUGAGGAGCGAAAGCGUGGGGAGCGAACAGGAUUAGAUACCCCCGUAGUCC
rnacentral:rRNA from 1 species